rnacentral:rRNA from 1 species
CUGGCUCAGAUUGAACGCUGGCGGCAGGCCUAACACAUGCAAGUCGAACGGUAACAGGAGAAGCUUGCUCUUGCUGACGAGUGGCGGACGGGUGAGUAAUGUCUGGGAAACUGCCUGAUGAGGGGGAUAACUACUGGAAACGGUAGCUAAUACCGCAUAACGUCGCAAGACCAAAGAGGGGGGACCUUCGGGCCUCUUGCCAUCGGAUGUGCCCAGAUGGGAUUAGCUUGUUGGUGGGGUAACGGCUCACCAAGGCGACGAUCCCUAGCUGGUCUGAGAGGAUGACCAGCCACACUGGAACUGAGACACGGUCCAGACUCCUACGGGAGGCAGCAGUGGGGAAUAUUGCACAAUGGGCGCAAGCCUGAUGCAGCCAUGCCGCCGUGUAUGAAGAAGGCCUUCGGGUUGUAAAGUACUUUCAGCGGGGAGGAAGGGAGUAAAGUUAAUACCUUUGCUCAUUGACGUUACCCGCAGAAGAAGCACCGGCUAACUCCGUGCCAGCAGCCGC